UACGGGGGGGCAAGCGUUGUUCGGAAUUACUGGGCGUAAAGGGCUCGUAGGUGGCCAACUAAGUCAGACGUGAAAUCCCUCGGCUUAACCGGGGAACUGCGUCUGAUACUGGAUGGCUUGAGUUCGGGAGAGGGAUGCGGAAUUCCAGGUGUAGCGGUGAAAUGCGUAGAUAUCGGGAGGAACACCAAUGGCGAAGGCAGCUCGCUGGGACGGUACUGACGCUGAGACGCGAAAGCGUGGGGAGCAAACAGG
rnacentral:rRNA from 1 species